rnacentral:rRNA from 1 species
AACGAAUGCUGGCUGCGUGCUUAACACAUGCAAGUCGAACGGUGAAGGGGAGCUUGCUCCCCGGAUCAGUGGCGAACGGGUGAGUAACACGUGGGCAACCUGCCCCUCACUCUGGGAUAACUCCGGGAAACCGGGGCUAAUACCGGAUACGACCGGGAGCGACAUCGCUCCUGGUGGAAAGAACUUCGGUGAGGGAUGGGCCCGCGGCCUAUCAGCUAGUUGGUGGAGUAACGGCCCACCAAGGCGACGACGGGUAGCCGGCCUGAGAGGGCGACCGGCCACACUGGGACUGAGACACGGCCCAGACUCCUACGGGAGGCAGCAGUGGGGAAUAUUGCGCAAUGGGCGAAAGCCUGACGCAGCGACGCAGCGUGAGGGACGAAGGCCUUCGGGUUGUAAACCUCUUUCAGCGGGGACGAGGCGAAAGUGACGGUACCCGCAGAAGAAGCACCGGCUAACUACGUGCCAGCAGCCGCCGUAAAAC